rnacentral:ncRNA from 2 species
UAACAACGAACUGCAAGAAGUCAGCCGAGGCCAUAGUACCUUGUGUUUUUUUCAAGGGAAGGGC